GGUGCUUAGUCUUGGGCCCCAAGGCCACUCCAGGCAUAUGGAAGAGAUGCAUGGGCCCAUCAAUCAAUGACUGCUGGCCAGAGGAGUGGCACUGAUGAAGUGGGCCCCAGCAGGCUCAAGGAGUAUGGAGGAGGGUCUUCUAACAGGAAUGAGAGCUCGGAAGAUAUAAUUUCCAGCCUCCUGGAGUCUAGCCUCAAGUGAUUGGAUGGUGUCCAGCUUGGCUGGAGUCAGAGAGAAGUCCACCGCUGGGCCCGAGAUGAACACGAGACCGAGAGAUGGCAGGGCUCCAGGCUGGUAUGAUGGCCUGCGAGUGGACAGGGAGCGGCCGUGACUCCAUCUCUUCUCCUAGGACUUGUCAGCCCCGAGAGUCCUGGAAACCCCAAAGAAGAGAGUAAAAAAGAGCCCCCCUAAACUCACCAAGGUGAUCAGCUGGGGCUUCCCAUCCACUGGACCUUCCCAGCAUUUCCUCUGCAGCUACCAGACGCCUGCUGGUGGGGCGCACUUCCUGCUUCCCAAUGUGCAUCUUUCCCCCUUGGCCAUCCAAACACAAUGGGCCAGAGGAAGCACUCGGCCUCUAAGUGAACCUGGAAGUCAGCGCCAGGUAGGACGGGUCAUCUCCUUCGCUCUGCAUGUGCGUGCGUCCAGUUUGCCCAGGAACCUCCUCUGGAGGCCACUGCUGUUGCUUUGCAGCUCUUGGAGUUGCUCUUGUUUGCACAACUGUUUGCUCCACGGCUGACGGGUGAAGGGAGAUCCCUGGGAGAGGUAACACAGAAAAGGAUUUCUUAGAGCCGUGGCUGAAAGGAAGGAAAAAAGACCAAGGCCCAAGGAGAAAGGAGGGCUUCCUCCUGGAGAUGGGGAGCCCCGAGAAUAGAUGCAUGGAUACAGAAUAGAUGCACGGAUGGCCUGUCUAUGGAAACAGCAGGGUGGGCAGGAGAGCAGGAGCGUGCCCGGCACACAGAGCCUUUCAGAUUUACUGUCGUCCCCAUUAAACUGCGGGUCUGCAAGAGCCGUCUGUUCAGGUAAGGGCAGCAGAGAGAACAGGAUGCCCCAAGCAACCCAUAAAUAGCAGGGUGAAGACAAAGUGUUUAUUACUUAGCCUCAUGAAGCCCAUAUAAGCGCUCUCCCAGGGUGCGCAAGAGCAGGAGUGAGUGUGAGCAGGCCCACGUGUGUGUCCCAGGAGUGGGAGUCCCAGACACAGUGUUCGCGCUUGGCUUGACUCUAUGAAGGCGUCUAUUUGAUGGAACGUCCUGGAACAGUUCAUAGCCAGCCCAGCAAACCUGGUGUGGAGACAGAGCUGGCUUUUUCUCUUUCCUUUUCCUGUUUGCAGUGAGAAUAAGGCCUUUCUCUUCUCAGCCCUUUGCUCUCCCCAAAGUUGUCUCACGAGGUCAUUGCCAGAUGGCAGGCUUCCUUUCAGUACAAGGUUUGGAUGGAAACAAUACUCUGUUUUCUGGGGGUUGGUAAAGCUCUGGGCCUGACCAGCCUGCACUAAAUUUAAAUGGGCUAUUGUUUUAGUAGGGACGAUGGUUUCUUCAGAAACUUGGGCCUAUGUGAUGCUGGUCUUUUUCCUAUGAGUGUAGGAUGGAGUUUGCCAUCAGUACAG